UACAGAGGUCCCAAGCGUUGUUCGGAUUCACUGGGCGUAAAGGGUGCGUAGGUGGUCGGGUAAGUCUGAUGUGAAAUCUCCGAGCUUAACUCGGAAAUGGCAUUGGAUACUAUUCGGCUAGAGGGUUUGAGGGGGGACUGGAAUACUUGGUGUAGCAGUGAAAUGCGUAGAUAUCAAGUGGAACACCAGUGGCGAAGGCGAGUCCCUGGAAAACUCCUGACACUGAG
rnacentral:rRNA from 1 species